rnacentral:rRNA from 1 species
GACGAACGCUGGCGGCAGGCCUAACACAUGCAAGUCGAACGCUCGUAGCAAUACGGGAGUGGCAGACGGGUGAGUAACGCGUGGGAAUCUACCCAAUGGUACGGAAUAACUCAGGGAAACUUGAGCUAAUACCGUAUGUGCCCGAAAGGGGAAAGAUUUAUCGCCAUUGGAUGAGCCCGCGUCGGAUUAGCUAGUUGGUGGGGUAACGGCCCACCAAGGCGACGAUCCGUAGCUGGUCUGAGAGGAUGAUCAGCCACACUGGGACUGAGACACGGCCCAGACUCCUACGGGAGGCAGCAGUGGGGAAUAUUGGACAAUGGGCGAAAGCCUGAUCCAGCCAUGCCGCGUGAGUGAUGAAGGCCCUAGGGUUGUAAAGCUCUUUCGGCGGGGACGAUAAUGACGGUACCCGCAGAAGAAGCCCCGGCUAGCUCCGUGCCAGCAGCCGCAGUAAUAC